rnacentral:rRNA from 1 species
ACUCCUACGGGAGGCAGCAGUGGGGAAUAUUGCACAAUGGGGGAAACCCUGAUGCAGCCAUGCCGCGUGUGUGAAGAAGGCCUUCGGGUUGUAAAGCACUUUCAGUCGUGAGGAAGGUAGUGUAGUUAAUAGCUGCAUUAUUUGACGUUAGCGACAGAAGAAGCACCGGCUAACUCCGUGCCAGCAGCCGCGGUAAUACGGAGGGUGCGAGCGUUAAUCGGAAUUACUGGGCGUAAAGCGCAUGCAGGUGGUUUGUUAAGUCAGAUGUGAAAGCCCGGGGCUCAACCUCGGAAUUGCAUUUGAAACUGGCAGGCUAGAGUCUUGUAGAGGGGGGUAGAAUUUCAGGUGUAGCGGUGAAAUGCGUAGAGAUCUGAAGGAAUACCAGUGGCGAAGGCGGCCCCCUGGACAAAGACUGACGCUCAGAUAGCGAAAGCGU